rnacentral:rRNA from 1 species
GGCUUGGGGAUGCUUACCAUGCAGUCGAGCGGCAGCAUGCCCUUCGGGGUGAUGGCGAGCGGCGGACGGGUGAGUAAUACAUAGGAAUCUGCCCUAGAGUGGGGGAUAGCCCGGGGAAACUCGGAUUAAUACCGCAUAAUCUCUACGGAGCAAAGUGGGGGAUCUUCGGACCUCACGCUUUAGGAUGAGCCUAUGGCCGAUUAGCUUGUUGGUGAGGUAACGGCUCACCAAGGCCACGAUCGGUAGCUGGUUUGAGAGGAUGAUCAGCCACACUGGGACUGAGACACGGCCCAGACUCCUACGGGAGGCAGCAGUGGGGAAUAUUGGACAAUGGGCGAAAGCCUGAUCCAGCAAUUCCGCGUGUGUGAAGAAGGCCUUAGGGUUGUAAAGCACUUUAAUCAGGGAAGAAAAAGCUUUGGCUAAUAUCCAAAGCCUUGACGGUACCUGAAGAAUAAGCACCGGCAAACUCUGUGCCAGCAGCCGCGGUAAUACAGAGGGUGCGAGCGUUAAUCGGAUUUACUGGGCGUAAAGCGUGCGUAGGAGGCUUGUUAAGUCGGUUGUGAAAUCCCCGGGCUCAACCUGGGAACUGCAGUCGAUACUGGCAAGCUAGAGUUCGGUAGAGGGUGGUGGAAUUUCCGGUGUAGCGGUGAAAUGCGUAGAGAUCGGAAGGAACACCAAUGGCGAAGGCAACCACCUGGGCCUGAACUGAC